UUGAAAAAUUUAUAUUAAAAAAGAAUAAUUUAAUUUUAGUACCUUGUGUAUCAGGGUUUAUUAAAUAUUUAAUGUUUAUUUAUAUUAAUCUCGAUUUUAUAAGAGUUAAUAAUUUAUUAUAUAUAAUGUAUUAAAAUUAUUUUAAAUAAAUUAUUGGAAAUGAAAUGUUAUUCGUUUAUAAAUAUAUCUAGUUUUUUUAGAAAUAAAUUUAAUUUAUAAAUUAUUAUAUUUUUUUAUUUUUUGUAAAAUAAAAAAAAUUAUUAAUUUAAAUAUUUUAAGGGAUAAGCUUUAAAAUAAAUUUUUAUAAAUUAAUGAAUUAUUAAUUAAAAUAUAUGCAUAGAAUUAGCAAUUAUUAAAAAGUUUGUUUUAAAUUAUUUAUUUUUUUAUAUAAUUUAUUAUAUUUUAAUUUAUUUAUAAAAAUGUUUAUAUUAAUAUAAAUUUAAUAAAGUAAUAAUGAUAAAAUUAGUAUAUAUAUUUUUUAUGUUUAUUUAAAUUUUUGUGAUAAGUUUAUAUAAAGAACUCGGCAAAUUUAUUAUAUACUCGCCUGUUUAACAAAAACAUGUCUUUUUGAAUUGAUUAAAAAGUCUAACCUGCCCAAUGAUUUUUUUUAAUGGCCGCAGUAUAUUAACUGUGCAAAGGUAGCAUAAUCAUUAGUCUUUUAAUUGGAGGCUUGUAUGAAUGGUUGGACGAAGUAUAAACUGUUUCAAAUAAAUUUAUUUUAGAAUUUUAUAUUUUAGUAAAAAAGCUAAAAUUUUAUUAAAAGACGAGAAGACCCUAUAAAUCUUUAUAUUUUUUGAUUAUUAAAUUUUAUAGUUUUAUUUUAUUUUUAAAUUAAUAAAUAUUUUGUUGGGGUGAUAUUAAAAUUUAUAAAACUUUUAAUUUUAUUUUAACAUUAAUUUAUGGAUGAUUGAUCUUUUAAUAUGGAUUAUAAGAAUAAGUUACUUUAGGGAUAACAGCGUAAUUUUUUUGGAGAGUUCUUAUUGAUAAAAAAGGUUGCGACCUCGAUGUUGGAUUAAGAUAAAUAUUUAGGUGUA
rnacentral:rRNA from 1 species